UCACCUCUUCCCAUUCCGAACAGAGAAGUUAAGCCCACCUGCGCAGAUGGUACUUGGCCUAAAGCCUGGGAGAGUAUGGCGAUGCCAAUU
rnacentral:rRNA from 1 species